GCUGGGCAUGGUGGCUCAUGCCUGUAAUCCUAUCACUUUGGGAGGCCGAGGUGGGUGGAUCACCUGAGGUCAGGAGUUCACAACAAGCCUGGCCAACAUGGUGAAACCCCAUCUUUA
rnacentral:SRP_RNA from 2 species